GAUGAACGCUGGCGGCGUGCCUAAUACAUGCAAGUCGAGCGAACAGACGAGGAGCUUGCUCCUCUGACGUUAGCGGCGGACGGGUGAGUAACACGUGGAUAACCUACCUAUAAGACUGGGAUAACUUCGGGAAACCGGAGCUAAUACCGGAUAAUAUAUUGAACCGCAUGGUUCAAUAGUGAAAGACGGUUUUGCUGUCACUUAUAGAUGGAUCCGCGCCGCAUUAGCUAGUUGGUAAGGUAACGGCUUACCAAGGCAACGAUGCGUAGCCGACCUGAGAGGGUGAUCGGCCACACUGGAACUGAGACACGGUCCAGACUCCUACGGGAGGCAGCAGUAGGGAAUCUUCCGCAAUGGGCGAAAGCUUGACGGAGCAACGCCGCGUGAGUGAUGAAGGUCUUCGGAUCGUAAAACUCUGUUAUUAGGGAAGAACAAAUGUGUAAGUAACUAUUCACGUCUUGACGGUACCCAAUCAGAAAGCCACGGCUAACUACGUG
rnacentral:rRNA from 1 species